rnacentral:rRNA from 1 species
ACAAACACUAGCCCGAACAACACAAAAUAUAAUUAACAACACCAAAUAAAACAAAACAUUUAUACAAAUAAAAGUAUAGGAGAU